rfam:Bacillus smithii strain DSM 4216, complete genome.
AUGUUCCUUCGGGGCAGGGUGAAAUUCCCGACCGGCGGUGAUGAACAUGAUGUUCAAAGCCCGUGACCCGUGCGCCUUUUCGGUGUACGGUGGAUUUGGUGAAAUUCCAAAGCCGACAGUGAAAGUCUGGAUGGGAGAAGGAGGAA